GGAUGUGAGGGCGAUCUGGCUGCGACAUCUAUCACCCCAUUGAUCACCAGGAUUGAUUUGGCUGAUCUGGCUGUCUAGGCCGGUGUCCCCUUCCUCCCUCACCACUCCAUGUGCGUCCCUCACCACUCCAUGUGCGUUCCUCACAAAGCGGUGUGAUUGGUUGAAGAGUACGGCCAUCCCCAGUAGAGGAGGAUCAUUCUUUGGUCAAAGGUAUGCGAGUAAGCUGAGCUUCCCUGCUAGAACCUCCAAACACGCGCUCAAGAUUACUGUAUCACAUGGUAGUUCUACUUUUAAUUUUUUUUGAGGAAACUCCAUAUUGUUUUGACAUGACUUU
rnacentral:snRNA from 1 species